rnacentral:rRNA from 1 species
CGGUGUUUAACUGGCGUGAUGUGGGACGUCCUACCGGUGGGCUUAGCCUCGCGAGGGGCGGCCCAACUAAUAUCCCGUCGCGGUGCUCUUUACUGAGUGUCGAGUCGGGCCGGUACGUUUACUUUGAACAAAUUAGAGUGCUUAAGGCAGGCUAUCCUCGCCUAAAUACUGCGUGCAUGGAAUAAUGGAAUAGGACCUCGGUUCUAUUUUGUUGGUUUUCGGAACCCCGAGGUAAUGAUUAAUAGGGACGGAUGGGGGCAUUCGCAUUGCGACGUUAGAGGUGAAAUUCUUGGAUCGUCGCAAGACGGACAGAAGCGAAAGCAUUUGCCAAAAAUGUUUUCAUUAAUCAAGAACGAAAGUUAGAGGUUCGAAGGCGAUCAGAUACCGCCCUAGUUCUAACCAUAAACGAUGCCAGCUAGCGAUCCGCCGAAGUUCCUCCGAUGACUCGGCGGGCAGCUUCCGGGAAACCAAAGCUUUUGGGUUCCGGGGGAAGUAUGGUUGCAAAGCUGAAACUUAAAGGAAUUGACGGAAGGGCACCACCAGGAGUGGAGCCUGCGGCUUAAUUUGACUCAACACGGGAAACCUCACCAGGCCCAGACACCGGAAGGAUUGACAGAUUGAUAGCUCUUUCUUGAUUCGGUGGGUGGUGGUGCAUGGCCGUUCUUAGUUGGUGGAGCGAUUUGUCUGGUUAAUUCCGAUAACGAACGAGACUCUAGCCUGCUAAAUAGGCGUACCUUAUGGUAUCGCGAAGGCCCCCGGCUUCGGCCGGUGGGUUUUUACUACCAACGUACAAACAAAUCUUCUUAGAGGGACAGGCGG